rnacentral:sRNA from 23 species
AGCCGCACUGUUAGAUCGGGGAAACUCAUCAUAACAACUAUUCCGAGGACAAUUUCAUCGCUGAUGGCGGGCCGCACCUUCGGGUUGCUUUGCACAGCGGAUUACAAAGGUGGUGGAAUCCUCAAAUCUUGUCUUUCGGAGUUUACGCUAUCCGCAGUGCGGCUUUUCAU